rnacentral:rRNA from 1 species
GAUGAACGCUGGCGGCGUGCCUAAUACAUGCAAGUCGAGCGAACGGACGAGAAGCUUGCUUCUCUGAUGUUAGCGGCGGACAGGUGAGUAACACGUGGAUAACCUACCUAUAAGACUGGGAUAACUUCGGGAAACCGGAGCUAAUGCCGGAUAAUAUUUUGAACCGCAUGGUUCAAAAGUGAAAGACGGUCUUGCUGUCACUUAUAGAUGGAUCCGCGCUGCAUUAGCUAGUUGGUAAGGUAACGGCUUACCAAGGCAACGAUGCAUAGCCGACCUGAGAGAGUGAUCGGCCACACUAGAACGGAGACACGGUCCAGACUCCUACGGGAGGCAGCAGUAGGGAAUCGUCCGCAAUGGGCGAAAGCCUGACGGAGCAACGCCGCGUGAGUGAUGAAGGUCUUCGGAUCGUAAAACUCUGUUAUUAGGGAAGAACAUAUGUGUAAGUAACUGUGCACAUCUUGACGGUACCUAAUCAGAAAGCCACGGCUAACUACGUG